rnacentral:rRNA from 1 species
UACGUAGGGAGCAAGCGUUGUCCGGAAUCAUUGGGCGUAAAGCGCGCGUAGGUGGCCUCGUAAGUCCGCUGUGAAAGUCAAAGGCUCAACCUUUGAAAGCCGGUGGAUACUGUGAGGCUAGAGUACGGAAGAGGCGAGUGGAAUUCCUGGUGUAGCGGUGGAAUGCGCAGAUAUCAGGAGGAACACCGGUGGCGAAGGCGCCUAUCUGGCCCAAUACUGACGCUGAGGCGCGAAAGCUAGGGGAGCAAACGGG